rnacentral:lncRNA from 1 species
UUGGAAUCUAAUUUCCCAGUGCCCUCCACCCCACCCAAAACCCCCAGUGUCUGGCAAAUCUGACUUAAAUCCCAGAGGCAGAGGCUGAGGACCCAGGCUCCGAUAUUCUGAACACAGGAUGGCUGGCAGCACUAACCCAUGCUGUCUUUUACACAUCUCAGCAGGCACUCUUGUAGAGCCUGGAGAAAUCAGUCUGAACGAGGCUC